rnacentral:rRNA from 1 species
UACGGAGGGUGCAAGCGUUAUCCGGAAUCACUGGGUUUAAAGGGCGAGUAGGCGGAUAGACAAGUCAGAUGUGAAAUAUAUGAGCUCAACUCAUAGACUGCAUCUGAAACUGUAUAUCUAGAGUGCUGGAGAGGAAAGCGGAAUUCCUAGUGUAGCGGUGAAAUGCGUAGAUAUUAGGAGGAACACCAGUGGCGAAGGCGGCUUUCUGGACAGUAACUGACGCUGAGGAGCGAAAGCGUGGGGAGCAAACAGG